AUUGAACGCUGGCGGCAUGCCUUACACAUGCAAGUCGAACGGUAACAGGUCUUCGGAUGCUGACGAGUGGCGAACGGGUGGGUAAUACAUCGGAACGUGCCUAGUAGUGGGGGAUAACUACUCGAAAGAGUGGCUAAUACCGCAUGAGAUCUACGGAUGAAAGCAGGGGAUCGCAAGACCUUGUGCUACUAGAGCGGCCGAUGGCAGAUUAGGUAGUUGGUGGGAUAAAAGCUUACCAAGCCGACGAUCUGUAGCUGGUCUGAGAGGACGAUCAGCCCCACUGGGACUGAGAGACGGCCCAGACUCCUACGGGAGGCAGCAGUGGGGAAUUUUGGACAAUGGGCGCAAGCCUGAUCCAGCAAUGCCGCGUGCAGGAUGAAGGCCUUCGGGUUGUAAACUGCUUUUGUACGGAACGGAAAGCCCCGGGUUAAUACCCUGGGGUCAUGACGGUACCGUAAGAAUAAGCACCGGCUAACUACGUGCCAGCCGCCGCCGUAA
rnacentral:rRNA from 1 species